UUCUCCCUGAUGCACUGAAGUGCAGCCUCAGUGCAAAGAGCAGCUAAAUCAGCACCAACGUAACCAUGUGUGUCUUUGGCAAUUCUUUCUAAAUCAACAUCUUCAGCAAGCUUCAUAUUCUUUGUAUGGAUUCGAAGAACCUCAAGACGCCCAACUUCAUCUGGAACACCAAUAUCAAUUUCCCUAUCAAAUCUACCAAACCUUCUCAAAGCUGGGUCUAUGCUGUUGGGACGAUUUGUGGCCCCAAUGACAAUAACAUG
rnacentral:misc_RNA from 1 species